rnacentral:rRNA from 1 species
AUUGAACGCUGGCGGCAGGCCUAACACAUGCAAGUCGAACGAGUGGCGGACGGGUGAGUAAUGUCUGAGAAACUGCGCGGUGGAGGGGGAUAACUACUGGAAACGGUAGCUACUACCUAAUACCCUCGAAUGGGCCCAGAUGGGAUUAGCUAGUAGGUGGGGUAAAGGCUCACCUAGGCGACGAUCCCUAGCUGGUCUGAGAGGAUGACCAGCCACACUGGAACUGAGACACGGUCCAGAUGCCUACGGGAGGCAGCAGUGGGGAAGAUUGCACAAUGGGCGCAAGCCUGAUGCAGCCAUGCCGCGUGUAUGAAGAAGGCCUUCGGGUUGUAAAGUACUUUCAGCGUGGAGGCGUUACCCGCAGAAGAAGCACCGGCUAACUCCGUGCCAGCAGCCGCGGUAAUAC